GGACCGGUAGCUCAGGGGUUAGAGCGUGCGAUUGCAGAUCGCAAGGCCGCUGGUUCGAAUCCGGCUCGGUCCU
rfam:Verticillium dahliae VdLs.17 supercont1.15 genomic scaffold, whole genome shotgun sequence.